rnacentral:rRNA from 1 species
CUGGAAUGAAUCUAGGCUCAAACCUAAUAUGGGUCUGGGGAUUGAACUGCGGUCGAUCAGUCUGUUGGUGAGGUAAUGGCCCACCAAACCUAUUACCGGUACGGGCUAUGAGAGGAGGAGCCCGGAGAUGGGCACUGAGACAAGGGCCCAGGCCCUAUGGGGCGCAGCAGGCGCGAAACUUCUGCAAUAGGCGAAAGCUUGACAGGGUUACUUUGAGUGAUUUCCGCUAAGGGAAUCUUUUGGCACCUCUAAAAAUGGUGCAGAAUAAGGGGUGGGCAAGUCUGGUGUCAGCCGCCGCGGUAAUACCAGCACCCCGAGUGGUCGGGACGAUUAUUGGGCCUAAAGCAUCCGUAGCCGGUCCUGCAAGUCUUCCGUUAAAUCCAGCUGCUCAACAGAUGGGCUGCGGGAGAUACUACAGGGCUAGGAGGCGGGAGAGGCAAGCGGUACUUUAUGGGUAGGGGUAAAAUCCGCUGAUCCAUAGAAGACCACCAGUGGCGAAGGCGGCUUGCCAGAACGCGCUCGACGGUGAGGGAUGAAAGCUGGGGGAGCAAACCGGAUUAGAUACCCGGGUAGUCCCAGCUGUAAACGAUGCAGACUCGGUGAUGGGUUGGCCUCGCGCCUGCCCAGUGCCGCAGGGAAGCCGUUAAGUCUGCCGCCUGGGGAGUACGGUCGCAAGACUGAAACUUAAAGGAAUUGGCGGGGGAGCACCACAAGGGGUGAAGCCUGCGGUUCAAUUGGAUUCAACGCCGGG